rnacentral:rRNA from 1 species
UACGUAGGGACCAAGCGUUGUUCGGAUUUACUGGGCGUAAAGGGCGCGUAGGCGGCGUGACAAGUCACUUGUGAAAUCUCCGGGCUUAACCCGGAACGGCCAGCCGAUACUGCAGGGCUAGAGUGCAGAAGGGGCAACUGGAAUUCUCGGUGUAGCGGUGAAAUGCGUAGAUAUCGAGAGGAACACCUGCGGCGAAGGCGGGUUGCUGGGCUGACACUGACGCUGAAGCGCGAAAGCUAGGGGAGCGAACGGG